rnacentral:rRNA from 1 species
UACGGAGGGGGCAAGCGUUGUUCGGAAUUACUGGGCGUAAAGGGCGCGCAGGCGGUGAUGUAAGACAGUUGUGAAAUCCCCGGGCUCAACCUGGGAACUGCAUCUGUGACUGCAUCGCUGGAGUGCGGCAGAGGGGGAUGGAAUUCCGCGUGUAGCAGUGAAAUGCGUAGAUAUGCGGAGGAACACCGAUGGCGAAGGCAAUCCCCUGGGCCUGCACUGACGCUCAUGCACGAAAGCGUGGGGAGCAAACAGG